UAUGUUGCCCAGGCUGAUCUCAAACUUCUGGGCUUAAGGGAUACUCUUACGUUGGCCUCCCAAAGUGCUGAGAUUACAUGUGUGAGCCACUGGCCCUGGCCUAGUUGUAAUUUUUUAUAGCAGCCUCAGAAAAUGAAUAUAGGACUUCCACUCCACUUAUCAGGUGAGAUAGCAUUACGGUAACAUUUCCAAUUACAUUCUCUCUCUUCAUUUUAUACUCCACCUUUUUCACAAAAUAAGAAUUAUUUAUCUGAUUUGUGAUAUUGUGGAAUUCGCUCAUAGCAGCUAAUAUUCUUCUGGGCUGUGUUUUAGGCUAAUCUAUAGGGUGGAUAUGUUCUUCUACUGAUCUCCUCCACGAAGUAAGCAAGCCUGAUUGCUAAUUAUGUAAGCAAACCUGAUUGAUGAUCCCGAGCCUGUUUUCUAGAAGCUCUCUAGGCUCAAGGGUUGCAAGACAGCACAUAAUUCCCCAUGUAGCUGACUGGACAUAUUUGCUUUGGAGACUCUCUUUUUAGAUGGAUUGCAAAUUUGGGCUUUUGCUUGUGUGUGUGUAUGUGUGUGUGCCCGUGUGCAUGUGCAUGUGUGUAUUUGUGUGUAUGGAGCCUCAUUUGGGUUGCACAUACUCUAAUUUCUAUCUGAAGAAUGGAUCUAUCUCUGAGAAUCAAACUUAGAAGGAGGAGAGGGUUAUCACUGGCACUUUACAGAGCCAUCCCCAAGAGAAGGUAUUCACUAAACAUUUGUAAAAAUGAAUAAAAAUCAAAAGGAUUUGAUUCAAUAGAUCUCACAGAAUUUGACUUAACAAGACUGGGUGGUACUUAACCGUUGGAGUUGAAGAAGAAAGAGUGUAAGAUGAUGCUGAAGUUUCUCACUUGGUGUAUGAAGAUAAUCGUGUUCUUAACUGGGUAUUUGUGUAUAAGAACAGUCAGAAUAUAGAGGAGUUUAUUUUAGUUUGGGAUAUAGUUGACAGAGAUCUUUGUAAGUCACCUAGAUGAGGAUUUCCAGGAGAUGGUUUGAAAUGCUGUUUGGAGCUGAGGCUGGAAUUGGAAAUAUGGAUUUGGAAUGAGAUAAUACGGAAAUGUAUAUGCAAUGGAGCACUUUACUUUUGAGGGCUGAAUAGAGGCAAAGAUUCCGGAAAGGGUAACCAAAGAAGUUUUCAUAAACUUUGGAAGAAAACCAAGAAAAAAUGGCAUUUCAGAAGUCAGAAAGGAGAAAAUUUCAGGAAGGAGGAAGUUUUAAAUAGUAUCAAGUGUUGCUGAGACAUUCAGCAGAAUUAAAACAAAAAACAGGUAGAAUUCCAUUAUAUAUAUAUUUUUUACCCUGAGAUUUAUUUACAGAAAAGGCAGUUUGAAUAAAGUGGCAAAAAGCAAACUAAAAAUGAUCUUUUCUAGUUGCUACCAAGUUGCUAGAAAGUCAGGGUGGAAGCAAAGUUUUUUGAAAACAGGGGACCUUUAGUGUGAAUGUAAUGAGUGUUGGAGAAAGCUGGUCAUAUGAGCUCUGUGAAAUCACGGAGUGUGGUUAGGCCCAGAAGAGGGGAUUUGUGAGCUGGGGAGGAGGCAUAUGAUAAAAGAAACAGGCGUUUAUUGAGCAUCUACUAUGAACCAGAAGGUUUUACUUUUUGAAACUGGGUAACGAGGUACAUGCAGAAGUCAUCAACCAAGAUAGAAAAUCAUGGGGGAAAAAACCGGUCUUUAAGUUAUUGGUAAGAACAUGGUGAAAGGGCUAAUUAGGGGGGCCUGGGCUGAGUGGCCAUGGAUGUGAAGUUAGCUGGGAAGAGCAGUCAGUGGUCUUGCUGACUGAGGGGUUGAGGGGCUGGAGGUCACAAAGAGGAUGACUUUCCAUAGAUGAGUCAUGAGUACAACACCACAUAUUAUUUCAAUCUCUUAUCAAGGUCUACUUCAUAUUCAGUUAGUUAUGAUGCUGAAGAUACAGCCCAUCAACCCUAAGAUUCCAUCAAUUGCAAAUCUUACCAUUAUUUUAUGUAUUAGUAAGAAAGAGAAGAAGAAAUAAAACAACUUUAUAUGAAUUGAUCACAGCAACCUCUUACUGCUUUGAAAUGUCUCUCAGCUCUUCCAGGGGGUGUGGCAAUUUGUCCUGCCCCCAGUUGCCUUCCUUGCCUUGUGAUAGGCAAUCAUUUUGCACACACCUCAGUAACAAACUCUAACAUCAUAUUCUUGUGAACAUCUUUUUUAGCUCCUGUAAAGCACUUGUUAUUCCUUUAUAAGAAAAUAUGGAAGCAUAGUCAUUCUUCUCCUACAGUGAAUAUUUUCUGCUCAGUUUUUAUGUCUUUGUAUAUACACAAUAGACUGUUUAUUUUACUUAUGUCAAAUUUAUACCCCUCUGCUCUGUUUUCUGUGUCUUUUUACUUUCUUGAAAUCUUUUAUCUAAAUGUCAAAUCAUAGUUAAAUUCAAUGCUGUGGUACUGAUAUAUUAGUGUAUUUUCUGUUGCUUAUAACAGAAUAUCUGAAACUGGGUAGUUUAUAAAGAAAAGGAAUUUAUUUCUUAAGGUUAUGGAGGCUGGGAAGGCCAAGAUUGAGGGGCCGUAUCUGGUGAGGGCCUUCUUGCUGGUGAGGACUCUGAAGAGUCGUGUGGCGGUGCAGGGCAUCACAUGGUGAGGGGACUGAGUGUGCUAACAUGCUGGCUCAUGGUCCAAUCACCUCUUAAAGGCCCCACCUCUCAAUAUGCCACAUUAAGUUUCAACAUGAGUUUUGCAGGCAACAUUCAAACCAUAGCAACCAGGUUGUACAUCAUUCAAUAGAGAUGACGACAUUCCUAUGAACAGGUGUGACCAAUGCUGUACAUACCUCAGCAAUGACAACUAGAUCAUGACGGUGCCUCGAUGACAGGAAUUGUAAAAUGCAACUCCCUGGAAUGUAGAAUUGCAUUCCAAUUUCAGAGAUGUUAAAUAUGAAAAUAAAAAUGUGUCUUAGUAUUGCUGAAAUAUAAAAAUUAAAUUUUAUAGAAAUACGGUAAUUGAAAUUCACAGUUAAACUUCAACCUUAAUUAUGACUACUCUUUGCUACCUAGCUUAUUUUUAGCAUUCCUAACAGAUACUGUGUGAAAACUGAUUUGAGUCUUAACUUUUCUUAUAUUCUUUGUUAUCCCCUGAAGGAAGUGUGAAAUGCCCAAGAAGCCAGUGCUGUGGGAAGGGGAAAAAUGAAGUCUUGUGUAUUUUGCCCCCAAUAACUCAAACUGGUGUAUGCGUCUCCAUCAGACAACGGAAGUCUCAGUGGAUUUCUCUCCAGCCUUCAUUGUGAGAACCUGGUAGAGAUCGUGGAGAACUCACAAAAGCAUGAGGUUGCCCCUGUGAAUGGCCCCUCUGGAGUUUUUAACCCUCAGACCUGUCCACACCAAGGCUUCAGCCACUCUUCAGUUACAGCUUAGGUUUUCCUAGCCUUUCCUGUGGAGGUUUCUGCUCAUGGAGUUCUGCUCUGGUAAGUUAUUAUUCUUUGUAACCACCUGUCUGUCUCCAGCUUUGAGGGCAGCAGUUUGAUGUGACCUCACUUCUCUGACAGAUCUAAGAAAAGUUACUGAUUUUCAUUUUGUUCGGCUUUUUACUUGUUGCUAGGACAGAGUGAUGACUUCCAAGCUUCUUACAUGUCAGACCAGAAACUGGAAGUCUGCAUCAUUCUGUUUACCUUCCUGGGCCCUAAAAACAUAACAAAGCAGAUUUCUUGUCAGAAUCUGUGUGUCAAUGAUAUGGUUUGGAUCUGUGUCCCUGUUCAAAUCUCAUGUUGAAAUGUAAUCCCCUGUGUUGGAGGUGGGGCUUGGUGGGACGUGAUUGGAUCGCGGGGGUUGUUUCUCAUGGUCUGACACCAUCUCCCUUGGUGCUGUCAUUCCCAUAGUGAGUCCUCAUGAGAUCUGGUUGUUUAAAAGUGUGUGGCAGGUGCCCCUUCUCUCUCUUGCUUCUUUUCUAGCCAUGUGAAGUGCUGUUCUCAUUUUACCUUCUGCUAUGAUUGUAAGUUUCCUGAGGCCUCCCAAGAAGCUGAACAGAUGCCACUACACUUUCUGUACAGCCUGUGGAACUGUGAGCCAAUUACACCUCUUGUCCUUAUUAAUUACCCAGUCUCGGGUAUUUAUUUAUAGCAGUGCAAGAACUGACUAAUACAGUUCAGUAGGCAUUAUAAAUUUAUUAUUUGAAAUGCCAUCUUUAGUAUAAAAAUAGAAAAUAGAAGCAUUUGGUAUACCAAUAAUAAAUAAUAUUUCCAUGUAUCAGAAACACAACAAACCCACAAAGUUAUAAUUGGGGGUUGGUUCUGGGCCUUGCUGGGCUUUAUGUCUGAAAGGGAGCAGGAGUUUCUUAAAACUAGGAGACUGAAUGAAGCUCCCCUGGUUAAGAAACAAGUCUGGAAAACUCCUUAGGGCUAUCACUUCUGUGAAGUUUUGUAACCAGGAAAGAAAGAAACUGUAUAAGCACACAACCAAAAUCUUAAGCAAGCCCCACACCUUGGCAGAUCAUCAAUACCUGCAAUACCACACAGCAUAUGGGGGAGAGAGGUAGUUGCGAGCCACCACUAGAAGUAGAAGUUGAGGGCUCUGAAGGGCCAGGUAGAAACAACCCCAAACCUGGAGACUGGCUGGAAAGGAUGAAAGAGAAAAAAAUUUCACCUAAGAUGAGCUGAAGUACACAGUCCAAAACAUGAGGAAGUCUAGUCUAAGAGAGAAAGCCAACAUUUGUGACAAAUUUACUUUACGUAUAAUUAAAAUAAUAGAAUAAGGCCGGGUGCGGUGGCUCACGCCUGUAAUCCCAGCACUUUGGGAGGCUGAGGUGGGUGGAUCACAUAUGGCCAGGAGUUCAAGACUAGCCUGGCCAACAUGGCGAAGCCCAUCUCUAAUUAAAAAAUAUUAAAAUUAGCUGGGCGUUGUGGCAGGCACCUGUAAUCCUAGCUACUCUGGAGGCUGAGGCAGGAAAAUUGCUUGAACCCAGGAAGCAGAGGUUGCAGUGAGCCAAGAUCGCACCACUGCACUCCAGCCUGGGCGACAGAGUGAGACUCCAUCUCAAAAAGUAAAUAAAUAAAUAAAUAAAAAGAAAAUAAUAAAAUAAUAGAAUAAGAUAAAGAAGGCUUUAAACACACGAGUUUAGGAUCAUCAGAGUGGUAAAUAAAAGGAAAAGGACCGGGUGUAGUCACUCACACCUGUAAUCCCAGUAUUUUGGGAGGCAGAGGAAGGAGGGUUGCUUGAGCCUGGGAAUUCAAGACCAACUUGCGCAUUAGAGUGAGAGCCCCAUCUCCACUGGAAAAAAAAAAAAGGAAAAGAAUUAACCAAACAAAAAAAGGCAGAAA